CCAUCUCACUGCUUCCAGAGCCAUGCCAAGAGAUCCCGGGACCCUCUCAGAGCCUGGCCACUCCCUCCUUCCCCAGUCCCCCAGGACAUAGUUGUAUAUUCUAGUUGUGAGAGACUCUGGCUGUGGCAAGUGGGACGUCGCCUCAACAUGGCCUGAUGAGCGGUGCCUUGUCCGCGCCCAGGAUCCGAACCAGCAAAACCCUGGGCAGCAGAAGCUGAGCGGGUGAACCUAACCACUCGACCGCCAGCGGGCCUCUGUUUUUAUUUUCGUUCUUUCAGGACACGGGCUCUGAUUUUUGAAUCUGGAGGAGGAGAUUGCAAAAGAGACAGAAAAGGAGUGCCCAGAGAGGCAGAGGGAAAGGAAGAGGAAGAGGAGGGUGAGCCGCGUGGGAAUCCAGGAAAGAGAGGGCUUCCGCUUAGAGACGUGGACCCCGUUUCAUAAGGCUAGGAACCAGGGGGGUGCUGAGAAGUCAUUGCACGAGUUACCCAAGUGAGAAACCAGAUCACAGCUGCAUUUGAGGAAGAUCGUUCUUCACUGUAGACUGCUGAUUCUCAAUCCUGGCUGCACAGUAGAACCUCCUGGAAACCUUUCAAACACUGAUGCCCAGGACCCACCCCAGACUAACUAAAUAAGAGCCUCCCUUGAUGCAGCCUGACAAUGAGAGAGAGGGAAGGAUCAAAGAUAACUCCGAAG
rnacentral:lncRNA from 1 species